CAGCGCUGCCCGCCAAGGGCAGUCCGCGGCCUCCUUAAGGCGAGGCGCAGGAGGUGCGCACACGCGUAGGGAAGGUCCCGCCCGCUGCCCACAAAGAAACUGAGCCGGCUCGGGGCGUGCGGGAAGGCUGCAGCCGGGCCGUGGACCAGCCCAGCUCCUACAUCGCCUUUAAAACCCAUCUGAAGGACUGCUGGUAACGCGUGUCUGGCUGCACAUGAAGCCCAGAAGCUGCUUUACGUAACAGUUUUAUUUUCAUAGAGUGAUUUCCCCUGUUCACUGUUGUUUUCAGAGUGUUUGGCAAUCAGUUCUUAGUAGCCAGUCCUGCAAACUGGUUUUUUUCAAGGCACUACUGGUCCAGCUGCCGUGGAUGGGACCCCCUUCCUCUGCGUGAGCCAUCCUGCUUCAGGGCAAAGUGGAUGAGAAAUUGGGGGGUGGAAAAGCAGCUUACUUCAGGAUCUUAACAUACGUUUAUCAACCAAACAGGAUUCCAUUAAAAAUAAAAGUAUAAACAACAACAAAAAAAAAAAAAAAAAACCUUUAAUUAAAAUAAUUAUAAGAUCCAGGUCAUUUUGGUAUUGGAUUUUCCUAAAUACAUUUGUAUUUAAAUUUCUGUUUCAUGCCUCCUAACUCUUUGAAGAGUAACCACCAGCCAAGCCUCUGAUGCAUUGCCACUGCAAGAAGAUACUUGUGCCCGAAGAGUAGUUUCAAUAUUCAUCACUGUUGCGUUUCUAAAGAGAGAGCUCCUCGCGAGAAUGUAAAUUCAGAAGGAAAUAAAGAAAGGUUUUACAUUUGCA